UGCUGUACCGUACAUCCGAUCCCGAGGGCGCGCGUUGGGCGCACCUUGUCGCGGGAGCGGAAAGCCAAGCCCAAACCUCAAGAUACUGAUGACGACGAUGACAUUGAUACUCAAGUUUCCGCAGUUUGAACCACCAGCCAGCCAUUCCUCUGCAUCCACUUCAUCCUUCUUCCUUUUUGUAUUGAUGUAUUUGCUACCAAACCAAUCAACCAAUCAACCGACAGACGCAACUCUAUUAUUACCUUGAACAACUUCAUGUGAUAGAACAUUUGUCGUUACAAGUAGUAACAGUAACAGAAAGAUUGAUGGCCCUUUUCAUACGCCUCAACAAUAAUGCAUUCUGAAUUACGAGCACGUCAACUCUUACACUCACACUUUCAGUAUGUCUACAACUACAGCUACAAAAAAUACAUAUUAUAAAUACAUUCAUACAUAUAUAAAUCAUAAAUAUUUA